rnacentral:misc_RNA from 1 species
GGACAGGCUUAUUUGAAUUUCCAAUACGAUGAUGAAGAAGACCAUGAACAUCAUGUUGGCUUUAAAGGCAAAGGGAAACACUUGAUUGGUGAUACAAACUUGAUGUUAAAUUUGACCCCCAUACGGUCGCUAGGAUAUGUCGACCCUGGGUGGGAUCAUGGUGUUGCUCAGGAUGAGAGGAAGAAAAAGGUCAAGUGUAAUUAUUGUGAUAAAGUUGUUAGUGGAGGUAUCAACCGAUUUAAACAGCACCUAGCCAGAAUUCCUGGCGAAGUAGCACCUUGUAAAAAUGCUCCUGAGGAAGUGUACCUUAAAAUAAAAGAAAAUAUGAAAUGGCACCGUACUGGCAGGGGACAAAGACAGAUGGAUACCAAAAAUAUCUGCUUUCUGUAAGCAAUCUGAUAAUGAAGAUGAAGAAGAUGAGCAUGAACAAGAUGCCCUACUUCGUAAGAGCAAGGAAAGGCUGGUAAUUGGUGAUAGAAUAUUGGGGAAUGAUUUGAGAGUGACUUACAAGGGAAUGACUUCUAGUAAUGGCUCUGAACCUUUAUUUAAAAAAUCAAGAUUGGACUCUGUUUUUCUGAAUACUCCAAAUAGUAUAAUGCCACCAUCUUGCAAACAGUUAAAGAUGAAAACUAGGUCCUGCAGAAAAUCUCGCAAAGAAGUUAUUUCUGCAAUUUGCAAAUUUUUUUACCAUGCAGGAAUUCCAAUACAAGCAGCAAAUUCCCUGUACUUCCAUAAGAUGCUUGAGUUGGUUGGUCAAUAUGGACCGGGUUUGGUUGGCCCUCAGAGCCAGGUGAUAUCUGGUCGCUUCCUACAGGAGGAAAUUGCAACUAUUAAAAACUACCUAUUUGAGUACAAGGCAUCCUGGGCAAUCACUGGUUGUUCAAUAAUGGCUGAUAGUUGGAUGGAUAUUGAGGGUAGGACAUUGAUCAAUAUUUUAGUUUCUUGCCCCCAUGGCGUGUACUUUGUUGCUUCAGUUGAUGCCAGUGAUAUGCUAGAAGAUGCUUAAACAGACUUAAAG